AUNNAGAGAAGUGCUUUCCGCGCUGGACCGUGUACAAGUCUCCUGGAAUGGAGCGUCAUAGAGGGUGAGAAUCGCGUCUCUGACACGGAUCCCAGUGCUUUCUGAUGCGCUCUCGACGAGUCGAGUUGUUUGGGAAUGCAGCUCAAAUUGGGUGGUAAAUUCCAUCUAAAGCUUAAUAUAGGCGAGAGACCGAUAGCGAACAAGUACCGUGAGGGAAAGAUGAAAAGAACUUUGGAAAGAGAGUUAAACAGUACGUGAAAUUGCUGAAAGGGAAACGCUUGAAGUCAGUCGCGUUAGCUUGAGAUCAGCCUAGCUCUUUUGCUUGGUGUAUUCUCUUGUAGACGGGUCAGCAUCAAUUUUGGCUGCCGGAUAAAGGCAGAGGGAACGUGGCACCUUUCGGCGUGUGUUAUAGCCCUUUGUUGUAUACGGUGACUGGGAUUGAGGAACUCAGUACGACCUUCGGGNUUGGGGCUUCGGCCUACAAUUCCUGCUUAGGAUGCUGGCAUAAUGGCUUUAAUCGACCCGUCUUGAAACACGGACCAAGGAGUCUAACAUGCCCGCGAGUGUUUGGGUGUUUAAAACCCGAGCGCGCAAUCAACGUGAAAGUUGGGAUCCCUGUCGUGGGGAGCACUGACGCCCGGACCUGAACUUCUGUGACGGCUCUGCGGUAGAGCGUGUAUGUUGGCACCCGAAAGAUGGUGAACUAUGCCUGAAUAGGGCGAAGCCAGAGGAAACUCUGGUGGAGGCUCGUAGCGAUUCUGACGUGCAAAUCGAUCCUCGAAUUUGGGUAUAGGGGCGGAAGACUAAU
rnacentral:rRNA from 1 species